rnacentral:rRNA from 1 species
CUAUUGGGUAGCAAUAUUCGGUAGUGGGAGUGGCGCAAGGGUGCGUAACACGUGGGUAAUUUGCCGUAAAGUCUGGGAUAACUUGCUGAAAGGCGAGCUAAUACCGGAUGUGAUUGCUGGAGGGCAUCCUCUGGCACUUAAAGUCGGGGACCGUAAGGCCUGACGCUUUUCGAUAAGCCCGCGGCCUAUCAGCUAGUUGGUGAGGUAACGGCUCACCAAGGCUAAGACGGGUAGCUGGUCUGAGAGGACGACCAGCCUCACUGGAACUGAGACACGGUCCAGACACCUACGGGUGGCAGCAGUCGAGAAUUUUUCUCAAUGGGGGAAACCCUGAAGGAGCGACGCCGCGUGGGGGAUGAAUGGCUUCGGCCCGUAAACCCCUGUCAUUUGCGAUCAAACCUUACGACCUAACACGUUGUAAGCUGAUAGUAGCGAAAGAGGAAGGGACGGCUAACUCUGUGCCAGCAGCCGCGGUAAUACAGAGGUCCCAAGCGUUGUUCGGAUUCACUGGGCGUAAAGGGUGCGUAGGCGGUCGGGUAAGUCUGACGUGAAAUCUUCAAGCUCAACUUGGAAACUGCGUCGGAUACUAUUCGGCUAGAGGAAUGGAGGGGAGACUGGAAUACUUGGUGUAGCAGUGAAAUGCGUAGAUAUCAAGUGGAACACCAGUGGCGAAGGCGAGUCUCUGGACAUUUCCUGACGCUGAGGCACGAAAGCCAGGGGAGCAAACGGGAUUAGAUACCCCGGUAGUCCUGGCCCUAAACGGUGCACGUUUGCUGUAAGAGGAAUCGACCCCUUUUGUGGCGAAGCUAACGCGUUAAACGUGCCGCCUGGGAAGUACGGCCGCAAGGUUAAAACUCAAAGAAAUUGACGGGGGCCUGCACAAGCGGUGGAGUAUGUGGCUUAAUUCGAUGCAACGCGAAGAACCUUACCUGGCCUUGACAUGCA